UAAGGAAAUAAGACUUUGCAGCAUGCACCCCUCCCCAUCUGAUUUCUUUCCUUUUCUCUGCAACUUCCUGCUGGUUUCCAGGAUUCUCUCGCUUGAUUUUUUAGAGCUGCAGACCACGUUUUUUCUGCCUCGGUCCAAAGGAAACAGUUGGUGCCUCACAGUGCCAGCUAAGGAAGGAAAGAAAGGAGUUAUACCACCCUUUGAUCACUGGAAAAUAAUUGUUGGAAUCAUAGAAUAGGAAUUAUAAUAUUUUAGUUUCCUCAUUUGCGUUAUUCAAUUAGAAAUCAGCCGAGAUUCACAUCCUAGAUUAGUGUAUUUUGUUUCCUAAAUAGAGCUGUUGUUUAGGCUAUAUAAACCUCCUCUGCUGGGAGAAGAAGAAAGGAGGAAGACAAACAGAGAGAGGGAGAGCGUAAAGAAGCAGAGGAUAAGAAAAGAAAAACAGAGGGGGGAAGGGAAGAGGAAGAAAAAAAAACAGAGAGAAGCAUUGCCAGCCAACGCAUGAGCAUCAGCUAGCCCCGUCUCCGGUUGCACCACUCCCUGAACAGACGGACACGAAGGAGAACAGGGGAGUAAACGCAGAGAGGACAUAACACCGGAACACAGAAAACGCGAAAAAUACAUAGAAAGCAAAAAAAAAACAGAGAGAGGGAAGAAUAGAGGAAGAACUGAAGAGGAGAGUAGCAUCGACCUGUCAGCUUCACCAUCGUCUUCGUCCCCCAGCUUCGCCUCCAGCUGCACUAGGGAACAGGGAAGAAGAGAAAGAGAGAGACAGACGCAGAGAGAGGAGGUAAGAGACGGACACGAGGAGAAGACAGAACGGAAGGGAAGCCAGACGCAGGGAGUAACAUCAUAGCUUCUUCCCAGAAUCUCAGCAACAAGCUCAGGAAGGACUUCACCCAGCAACGGUUGUGAACCAGCGAGUGGGUGGCACCCACGCCAUUAAAGAGGUGCGUGUGAUGCUUCUCGGUGGCCAAAUCUAGCCAUCCGCUGUCUCAUUAGAUGCAAAUUCAAGCUCUCUUCCACAUGGUGUGGCACAUGUAGACAGAUAAUGGUUAGAUUGCCUUUGGUGAUCGAUUGUUUGCGUUUUUUCUUUCUUUUCUCUCUCCUGACAACUAUAAUGCACAAUUGUCAUCUUUGUUUAUUAUUUGUCAAAUCAGACAUGCUUACCAUA